UGACCGCGAGCGAGUGGUCACGAAGGAAUGACCGCGAAGAGCGCGGGGCCGCGAGCAAAUUGGCGCGAAGGAGAUGGCCGCAAGCGAGUGGCCGCGAGCGAAAGCAAGCGACCGCGAGAAGAAUUAGUUCGCAAAGGAGGCCAACAGUGACAUUCAGCGGAGCGAGGAGUUAUCAAACGCUCGCGAGGGACAUUUUUCUCGAAGGCUAUGCUCGCGACCAAUUAUCUCAAGAAGCAGAGCUCGCUGAAUACACUUGGCCUGAGCCUCGCUAGCAAGGUUCGAGCCGGCGAAGCGCUUUGCAGGACUUCCUCCAACAAGAUUCACUCUGAGGCGAAGUCGAUCUAAAGGCCAGCGAGUGGUCUUCAGCGGACAACCUUCUGCCAAUCACUGUGGCAGACGCUGCGGUAGAACCAAGCGGAAGGCUUUCAAGCGAUUUCCGGAAGAGUUUCUUCUGGCAGCAAGAAGAAGACAAAAUCGAAUUGUAAGGUACUCCAUAUCCAAGAGUUGAUUUCUGGAGGCAAUUCUCUUGAGCAUUCAUCAAAAAUCUGAGAGUCUGGAAUAUGCCUACAAAGUGUUUGAUGGAAGGCCUGAGAGAAAUUCGGCUUCAUGGGAUUCUACGAUUGCGGGGUAUGCGAUGCAGCGCCUAGCUGGAGGUGCAUCAGAGUUGUUGGGUUGAUAAAAUUUUAGAACGCGGCACUCGUUUUCAAUGCAGUUAAGCAUGGUAGCAGCUAAUUGUUUCUUCUCACCAAGGCAGAAUUCUGAAUUGCAACGAGGCGAUGGAAACUAUUUUCCCCAAGUAUAGCAGCGAUGGUAUCGUUGUGGUCCGGUUAUAAAAAUCAAGUGCCUACAGAGGACCUGUACAAAGAGAAAUAUAUAUGGUUCUUUGGUCUCUAGCUCUUAUUGGCAGUCCGGAAAGUUUGGAGACUAUGCAAUGAUAUGCACAAGGCUGCGGACCGGGGGGCAACACAAAGUCCUGCUUGGACGAAGACAGGUCAUGUUCUUCAAUCAUGUUGCUGAAAUUUUAAAUUCCUGGAAAUAUAUAUUCGAAUAUUAUACACUUGUGUAUGUAUAUAUGGGGGAAGGAUUUCAAAAUUCUGUGGCA